AAUCCCAGCAAACUUGCAGAUGAAACCUUCGGUCUGAUUAUCGAACUUCCAUGUAGUGUUCAAGAAAUUCAAUGGAUCUUCAAAUGAAUCUUUAAUAGAUUUCAGACAGUCAAUGUCGCUUUGAACAGCAGAGCAAACAGCACAGCUCAAGACCAAGUAAAUCAAAAUAGCAGCAAAGGUAGUAAGAGCUCUCUUAUCCAAAGCCAUCUUGGUGAGAGGCACCGUCAUAACCGCAACAAUCGAAGGUCCUAAUUAAGUAGUUGAUUGAA
rnacentral:misc_RNA from 1 species